rnacentral:tRNA from 1 species
GGUCCCAUCUACUAACUGGUCUAGGUAAUCAGCCUCUCAAGCUGAAAAUGUGAGUUCGAGUCUCGCUGGGAUCACCA